rnacentral:rRNA from 1 species
GACGAACGCUGGCGGCGUGGAUUAGGCAUGCAAGUCGAACGGUAUCAUCCUUUCGGGGGUGAGAGAGUGGCGAACUGGUGAGUAACACGUAGGUUAUCUACCCUCAAGACGGGGACAACCCAGGGAAACUUGGGCUAAUACCGGAUGUGAGCAACUUUUAGUUGUUUGAAAGGUGGCGUAAGCUGUCGCUUGGGGAUGAGCCUGCGUCCUAUUAGUUAGUUGGUGAGGUAACGGCUCACCUAGGCAAUGAUAGGUAGGCGGCCUUAACGGGUGGUCGCCCACACUGGGAUUGAGAUACGGCCCAGACUCCUACGGGAGGCAGCAGUCGAGAAUAGUCUACAAUGGUCGGAAGACUGAUAGUGCGACGCCGCGUGAACGAUGAAUCCCUUCGGGGUGUAAAGUUCUUUUAUAUGUGAGCAGUGCUUCUUAUAUUAACAGUAUGGGGAGAGAGAUAUUAGCAUAUGAAUAAGCAACGGCUAACUCCGUGCCAGCAGCCGGGUAAUA